rnacentral:lncRNA from 1 species
AUUAACAUGGUAGAUUCAUAGGGAUCCAUCCAUCCCUAGGACAUCUACAUGAGCAGAUGGAUAGGUGCACUUAGGAGGCUUUGACCUCUCCUCUCUGAAGAGAAGAAAGAGAUCCAGUUUUAUGUAGUGCAAAAUGCAAGCAGAGGAAGAAGACCAACAUAGGGUAAGGGAAGAGAAAUACACUAGGAUGUGUCCGUGGCGUCGGACAACACUUGGGUCAGAGCAGCGACGGCCAGGGAAGAUGCAGA